rnacentral:snRNA from 1 species
CGACUCUGGUUUCUCUUCAUUACGCACAAGCCUUUCGCCUUUUACUAAAGACUUCCGUGGAGAGGAACACUUACGAGUUCAACGUAUUUUGGGAAGGGCUUUGCUUCUGGCAGAGCC